rnacentral:rRNA from 1 species
GACGAACGCUGGCGGCGUGCUUAACACAUGCAAGUCGAACGAUGAAGCCUAGCUUGCUAGGUGGAUUAGUGGCGAACGGGUGAGUAAUACGUGAGUAACCUACCUUUAACUCUGGGAUAAGCCUGGGAAACUGGGUCUAAUACCGGAUACGACCAAUCUCCGCAUGGGGUGUUGGUGGAAAGCGUUAUGUAGUGGUUAUAGAUGGGCUCACGGCCUAUCAGCUUGUUGGUGAGGUAACGGCUCACCAAGGCGACGACGGGUAGCCGGCCUGAGAGGGUGACCGGCCACACUGGGACUGAGACACGGCCCAGACUCCUACGGGAGGCAGCAGUGGGGAAUAUUGCACAAUGGGCGCAAGCCUGAUGCAGCGACGCCGCGUGAGGGAUGACGGCCUUCGGGUUGUAAACCUCUGUUAGCAGGGAAGAAGAGAGAUUGACGGUACCUGCAGAGAAAGCGCCGGCUAACUACGUGCCAGCAGCCGCGGUAAUACGUAGGGCGCGAGCGUUGUCCGGAAUUAUUGGGCGUAAAGAGCUUGUAGGCGGUUUGUCGCGUCUGCUGUGAAAGGCCGGGGCUUAACCCCGUGUAUUGCAGUGGGUACGGGCAGACUAGAGUGCAGUAGGGGAGACUGGAAUUCCUGGUGUAGCGGUGGAAUGCGCAGAUAUCAGGAGGAACACCGAUGGCGAAGGCAGGUCUCUGGGCUGUAACUGACGCUGAGAAGCGAAAGCAUGGGGAGCGAACAGG